rnacentral:rRNA from 1 species
CGGGAGGCAGCAGUGGGGGAUAUUGCACAAUGGGGGAAACCCUGAUGCAGCGACGCCGCGUGGAGGAAGAAGGUUUUCGGAUUGUAAACUCCUGUCGUUAGGGACGAAUCAUGACGGUACCUAACAAGAAAGCACCGGCUAACUACGUGCCAGCAGCCGCGGUAAAACGUAGGGUGCAAGCGUUGUCCGGAAUUACUGGGUGUAAAGGGAGCGCAGGCGGACCGGCAAGUUGGAAGUGAAAACCAUGGGCUCAACCCAUGAAUUGCUUUCAAAACUGCUGGCCUUGAGUAGUGCAGAGGUAGGUGGAAUUCCCGGUGUAGCGGUGGAAUGCGUAGAUAUCGGGAGGAACACCAGUGGCGAAGGCGACCUACUGGGCACCAACUGACGCUGAGGCUCGAAAGCAUGGGUAGCAAACAGGAUUAGAUACCCUGGUAGUCCAUGCCGUAAACGAUGAUUACUAGGUGU